ACACAUGCAAGUCGAGGGGCAGCGCGGGAUAGCAAUAUCCUGGCGGCGACCGGCGGAAGGGUGCGUAACGCGUGAGCGACAUGCCCGUUGCCCGGGGACAACCGGUGGAAACGCCGACUAAUCCCCGAUGGGAUACGAUGCUUCAUGGCAUUGUAUUGAAAGUUACGGCGGCGACGGAUUGGCUCGCGUCCGAUUAGCUUGUUGGCGGGGUAACGGCCCACCAAGGCUACGAUCGGUAGGGGUUCUGAGAGGAAGGCCCCCCACAAUGGGACUGAGACACGGCCCAUACUCCUACGGGAGGCAGCAGUGAGGAAUAUUGGUCAAUGGGCGGAAGCCUGAACCAGCCAUGCCGCGUGCGGGAAGGAGGCCCUAUGGGCUGUGAACCGCUUUUGCCUGGGGGCAAUAAGGGCGUCGCGCACGCCCGAUGAGAGUACCAGGCGAAUAAGCAUCGGCUAACUCCGUGCCAGCAGCCGCGGUAAUACGGGGGAUGCGAGCGUUAUCCGGAUUCAUUGGGUUUAAAGGGUGCGUAGGCUGUGCGUCAAGUCGGGGGUGAAAUUCCGGUGCUCAACACCGGGGCUGCCCUUGAUACUGUCGCGCUGGAGUGCGGAUGCCGCCGGAGGAAUGAGUGGUGUAGCGGUGAAAUGCUUAGAUAUCACUCAGAACACCGAUUGCGAAGGCAUCUGGCGAAUCCGUAACUGACGCUGAGGCACGAAAGCGUGGGGAUAGAACAGGAUUAGAUACCCUGGUAUUCCACGCCGUAAACGAUGAUGGCUAACCGCCGGCGACACACUGUCGGUGGCCAAGCGAAAGCGAUAAGCCAUCCACCUGGGGAGUACGUCGGCAACGAUGAAACUCAAAGG
rnacentral:rRNA from 1 species